rnacentral:rRNA from 1 species
CAGCAGUGGGGAAGUAUUGUCACAAUGGGCGCAAGCCUGAUGCAGCAACGCCGUGUGAGUGAAGAAGGUUUUCGGAUCGUAAAACUCUGUCCUAAGGGAAGAAACAAAUGACGGUACCUUAGGAGGAAGCCCCGGCUAACUACGUGCCAGCAGCCGCGGUAAUACGUAGGGGGCAAGCGUUAUCCGGAAUCACUGGGCGUAAAGGGUGCGUAGGCGGCUUAGCAAGCCAGGGGUGAAAGGCAUUGGCUCAACCAAUGUAAGCCUUUGGAACUGUUAAGCUUGAGUGCAGGAGAGGUAAGUGGAAUUCCUAGUGUAGAGGUGAAAUUCGUAGAUAUUAGGAGGAACACCAGUGGCGAAGGCGACUUACUGGACUGUAACUGACGCUGAUCGCACGAAAGCGUGGGUAGCGAACAGGUUUAGAUACCCUGGUAG